GGGAUCAGGGAUGAUGUGAGAUGUGGUUAUUAUUACACUGAUGUUCCACUGAGAAUUUCUGGCAUCAGGAAGAUUUAAUAUGCAGGAACUUCCAGAAAGAAAGUUCACCAUUUAAAGGGUGAGAUGGCUGUCAUUCAUGAUGUGCAUGAAAAGAAGUAGACGUCUGAUCUUCAGGAACAGCUGAAAACAAACAGCAGUGGUGAGAUAAAAGCUGAAACAAGAAGCUCCAACCUUUUUCAAAUGGAAACAACACAAAAGAGCAGAUACAAGGAAGAUUUUUCCCAGAGGUCGAAAUUGCAGGAGCAGGUAUUGCAACUCCAACAACACCUGCAGAAUGAAAGAGAAAAUUGUUUACAGAGAUCUAAAUGGAUGAGAGAGGGGCUUAUACAGUCAGAAGCUCUCAUACUUCAGCGAGAAGGAAAGCUCUAUACAAUGAAUGGUGGGGACCCAGAAUUAAUGGCAAAAGUUCAGAAGAUUCAAGAAACCAAUGAGGCUGAGGUGAAACAAAUCCAAGAGGAAACAGCAGCAGCCUACCAUCAAAAUGUAAGCCUAUAAUAUACAACAUGUGCUCCCUCUUUCAUUUGUCUACUUUACAAGAGUUAAUAUCCAGUAUCUGAAAGGUUCACAAAGGAGGGGCUUUUUUCCUUCUAGACUAUUAAACUACAGUAGCAGCUUAUUAAAAAAAAGAAUUUCUCCUAACUGGAAAAAAGUGGUCUU